GUUUACCACAGUGUAGAGUUCUUCAGUUUCCAGGAUCGGAGGUGGUGUGUGUGUGGUUGAUGUUUUUAGAGUGAGGCAAUGGCUUAGCCCCGUGGGAGCAGAUUGCAUGAGACAAGCACCCAGAAUGAGGGAGAUAAUGCCAGCCAAUCUGUCAGAUUUCAUCAUCUGCUGGUCCUGGGCUGAGACUACUCCGUGCCUGGAUGAGUUUUGUGGACUGUGGAACACAAUAGUAACUGGCCCUAGGGGCAUGCAGAGGAACACUGGAUUACCAGAAGAGAAGAGCGGCACACCUCCAGGGGGCACCAUCCGCACUGUAGUAUCUGAACAGUGCCCAGCCUACACAGCUCUACAGCACAGAUGCCACUGA
rnacentral:lncRNA from 1 species